GAUCAUGGCUCAGGAUGAACGCUGGCGGCGUGCCUAACACAUGCAAGUCGAACGAAGCAAUUAGAAAGAAGUUUUCGGAUGGAUUUCUGGUUGACUGAGUGGCGGACGGGUGAGUAACGCGUGGAUAACCUGCCUCACACGUGGGGGAUAACAGUUAGAAAUGGCUGCUAAUACCGCAUAAGCGCACAGUACCGCAUGGUACGGUGUGAAAAACUCCGGUGGUGUGAGAUGGAUCCG
rnacentral:rRNA from 1 species